rnacentral:rRNA from 1 species
AUGGCGCCAAAUCAUUUUGUCUACAACAUACUCAUAUCUGCAUAUGCUCAAGAAGAAACGGUUGGUGAGGUAAUGCAUAUAUUUACAAAAAUGCGGCAGGAAGGAUUGAACCCUGAUGUUGCGAACUAUGGAGCGGUAAUAAACUUGCUUUCUAGUAUUGGCCGAAUGGAUGAUGCUAUGUCCCAAUACAAUCAAAUGAUAACUGAAGGAUUACUCCCUGGUAUCAUUGUUUUCACCCCCCUUAUUAGUGGUUUCUGUUCUUGUGGCAAAUGGGAGAAGGUUCCUGAACUAUUUUCUGAGAUGUUGGAUCGCGGCAUCUGUCCCAACACAGUGUUCUUCAACACAAUUAUGGAUCGCCUUUGCAAAAAUGGAAGGGUUAUGGAAGCCCAGGAUCUCUUCGACCUGAUGGUACACAUGGGUGUGAAGCCUGAUGUGUGUACUUAUAACACACUGAUAGGUGGAUACUUGUUCGUUGGUAAGAUGGAUGAAGUAAGGAAGUUACUUGACAAUAUGGUCUCAAUUGGCUUGAAACCAGAUGUUAUCACAUAUAGCAUACUGAUUGAUGGUUACUCUAAGAAUGGAAGGAUAGAUGAUGCAUUGGUUUUUUCCAGGGAAAUGUUGGCCGGGAAGGUUAAGCCUUGUGUUAUCACUUUUAAUAUUAUGAUUGGUGCAUUGCUUAAAUGUGGCAGGAAGGCAGAAACCAAAGAUUUGUUUGAUGGUAUCUGGGCCAACGGAUUAGUGCCCGACGUUAUUACAUAUAGCUUAAUGAUACAAAAACUUAUUGAAGAAGGUUCUCUACAAGAGUCUGAUGAUCUAUUCCUUUCUAUGGAGAAGAAUGGAUGUGUUGCCGACUCCCAUAUGCUAAAUGCUAUAGUUAGAAGCUUACUUCGGAAAGGGGAGGUGCCCAGGGCUGGGACUUAUCUAUCUAAAAUUGAUGAGAGGGUGUUCACCCUUGAAGCUUCCACUUGCUUCAGGGGGGAAAGGCCAAGAAUAUAA